UCGAACUCACAGACCGCGAGAUCAUGCCCUGAGCCGAAGUCGGAUGCUCCAUCGACUGAGCCACCCAGGCGCCCCAACAAAGCCCCAGUCUUACAGACCGCAUCCUCUGGUGUGGAGCCUCGGGCAGAGGAGGUGUGCAGAGAAUGCGCAUGCAAUGGUUUUGGGGAAACAAUAGGGGAAAGCAUGUUUUAAAAGAUAUCCGUUGAUGAGGAGUCCUGGGAACGGAGGAAUGCGAUACCACGAGUGGAAAGUCCAAAGCAAUUAUAUCUGUGAGUGUUAAAAACGUGUUGUGUGCUUGCUUUCUCUGCCGCAGGAGAAGGCUGUUUACAUUAUGGGGGAUUGUUCCAGUCUGUACCAGAGAGCUUGUUAAGGGAGGACAGGCAGGUUGGUUGCACGAAUGCGCACUCCCAAUGAGACGAAUGGAGAAAUUAUGAAGCAAUCAAAUGGCCAGGCUUUUAGCAGACCACGGUACAUUGCCCUCUUUUGCUACCCCUAGGCCUGUUAGCAUAAAAGAAGCUAUAAAGAUAAAGUGCACAACAUUAUUCAAGUGUCUGCGUUCUACCAACACAGGCGGCCGGCAGUUCAUGGCCACGGUCCUCGGGGUUGCGCAAAGCCACUCUGCCUCCCCCACAGGCGGAGCGGGCCCCAUGCCUUCUCUCCUUGCCAGGACUGUGUCUGGGGCACGAGUGAGAGUUAGAGCGAGGAGAAAUACCUGGAUCCUUUUGGACUUCCCUCCCUCCCCUUCUUCAGAGCCCUCAGGGGAAAAGAGAGGCUGCCUGAAAAACCUCACAAGCCAUGGAGGAAACUCACGCUCUUCUUUGGACCCUGAUACUCGACUUCCAGAGUGGAGGAGUGGUCUGUACUUUUGAAAGUUGCUCUGCGACUUUCGAUGUUUCUUCCCAGGAGGCGAAAUGAUGCGAUCAGCCGGGAUGAAGUGGGAAUCGUGAUUUCGGGGGACUCAACGGCCAGUCACAUUAGGAAAUGCCCCUUCACACUGAGAAACUGUCUAUGAAGAGAAGGCUCUAUGUUUGGCAGUGAGCUUGUUCUCUUACCAUUACCCUGUCCCCCCUUUUUACUCAAGAUUAUUUGGCUGCAAGGGGAAGCAAUAUAAUAAAAAUAUCAGUCAGUCUCUGG